rnacentral:rRNA from 1 species
CAGGCUUAACACAUGCAAGUCGAGGGGCAGCAUGGUCUUAUCUUGCUAAGGCCGAUGGCGACCGGCGCACGGGUGAGUAACACGUAUCCAACCUGCCGUCUACUCUUGGACAGCCUUCUGAAAGGAAGAUUAAUACAAGAUGGCAUCAUGAGUCCGCAUGUUCACAUGAUUAAAGGUAUUCCGGUAGACGAUGGGGAUGCGUUCCAUUAGAUAGUAGGCGGGGUAACGGCCCACCUAGUCUUCGAUGGAUAGGGGUUCUGAGAGGAAGGUCCCCCACAUUGGAACUGAGACACGGUCCAAACUCCUACGGGAGGCAGCAGUGAGGAAUAUUGGUCAAUGGGCGAGAGCCUGAACCAGCCAAGUAGCGUGAAGGAUGACUGCCCUAUGGGUUGUAAACUUCUUUUAUAAAGGAAUAAAGUCGGGUAUGGAUACCCGUUUGCAUGUACUUUAUGAAUAAGGAUCGGCUAACUCCGUGCCAGCAGCCGCGGUAAUACGGAGGAUCCGAGCGUUAUCCGGAUUUAUUGGGUUUAAAGGGAGCGUAGAUGGAUGUUUAAGUCAGUUGUGAAGAGUUUGCGGCUCACCCGUAAAAUUGCAGUUGAUACUGGAUAUCUUGAGUGCAGUUGAGGCAGGCGGAAUUCGUGGUGUAGCGGUGAAAUGCUUAGAUAUCACGAAGAACUCUGAUUGCGAAGGCAGCCUGAUAAGCUGCAACUGACAUUGAGGCUAGAAAGUGUGGGUAUCAAACAGGAUUAGAUACCCUGGUAGUCCACACGGUAAACGAUGAAUACUCGCUGUUUGCGAUAUACGGCAAGCGGCCAAGUGAAAGCGUUAAGUAUUCCACCUGGGGAGUACGCCGGCAACGGUGAAACUCAAAGGAAUUGACGGGGGCCCGCACAAGCGGAGGAACAUGUGGUUUAAUUCGAUGAUACGCGAGGAACCUUACCCGGGCUUAAAUUGCAGAUGAAUUACGGUGAAAGCCGUAAGCCGCAAGGCAUCUGUGAAGGUGCUGCAUGGUUGUCGUCAGCUCGUGCCGUGAGGUGUCGGCUUAAGUGCCAUAACGAGCGCAACCCUUGUUGUCAGUUACUAACAGGUUUUGAUGAGGACUCUGACAAGACUGCCAUCGUAAGAUGUGAGGAAGGUGGGGAUGACGUCAAAUCAGCACGGCCCUUACGUCCGGGGCUACACACGUGUUACAAUGGGGGGUACAGAGGGCCGGUACCACGCGAGUGGAUGCCAAUCCCAAAAACCUCUCUCAGUUCGGACUGGAGUCUGCAACCCGACUCCACGAAGCUGGAUUCGCUAGUAAUCGCGCAUCAGCCACGGCGCGGUGAAUACGUUCCCGGGCCUUGUACACCCCGCCCGUCAAGCCAUGGGAGCCGGGGGUACCUGAAGUGCGUAACCGCGAGGAGCGCCCUAGGGUAAAACUGGUGAC